GAGUUUGAUCAUGGCUCAGAUUGAACGCUGGCGGCAUGCCUUACACAUGCAAGUCGAACGGCAGCACGGGAGCUUGCUCCUGGUGGCGAGUGGCGAACGGGUGAGUAAUGCAUCGGAACGUAUCCUGGAGUGGGGGAUAACGUAGCGAAAGUUACGCUAAUACCGCAUAUUCUGUGAGCAGGAAAGCGGGGGACCUUCGGGCCUCGCGCUCUUGGAGCGGCCGAUGUCGGAUUAGCUAGUUGGUGAGGUAAAGGCUACACCAAGGCGACGAUCCGUAGCAGGUCUGAGAGGAUGAUCUGCCACACUGGAACUGAGACACGGUCCAGACUCCUACGGGAGGCAGCAGUGGGGAAUUUUGGACAAUGGGGGCAACCCGUGAUCCAGCCAUGCCGCGUGAGUGAAGAAGGCCUGG
rnacentral:rRNA from 1 species